rnacentral:rRNA from 1 species
GAACUUAGCAGAGAUGCUUUGGUGCCUUUCGGGGAACUCUGAGACAGGUGCUGCAUGGCUGUCGUCAGCUCGUGUUGUGAAAUGUUGGGUUAAGUCCCGCAACGAGCGCAACCCUUAUCCUUUGUUGCCAGCGGUUAGGCUGGGAACUCAAAGGAGACUGCCAGUGAUAAACUGGAGGAAGGUGGGGAUGACGUCAAGUCAUCAUGGCCCUUACGAGUAGGGCUACACACGUGCUACAAUGGCGCAUACAAAGAGAAGCGACCUCGCGAGAGCAAGCGGACCUCAUAAAGUGCGUCGUAGUCCGGAUUGGAGUCUGCAACUCGACUCCAUGAAGUCGGAAUCGCUAGUAAUCGUGGAUCAGAAUGCCACGGUGAAUACGUUCCCGGGCCUUGUACACACCGCCCGUCACACCAUGGGAGUGGGUUGCAAAAGAAGUAGGUAGCUUAACCUUCGGGAGGGCGCUUACCACUUUGUGAUUCAUGACUGGGGUGAAGUCGUAACAAGGUAGGCGUAGUGCU